AUCCUGGCUCAGGAUGAACGCUGGCGGCGUGCCUAACACAUGCAAGUCGAACGAUUAAAGCACCUUCGGGUGUGUAUAAAGUGGCGAACGGCUGAGUAACACGUGGGCAACCUGCCCCUCUCAUUGGGAUAGCCACGGGAAACCGUGGAUAAUACCGAAUACUUCGAGUCUCCCGCAUGGAAGACUCGAGAAAGCUCCGGCGGAGAGGGAUGGGCCCGCGGCCUGUUAGCUUGUUGGUGGGGUAACGGCCUACCAAGGCAAUGAUGGGUAGCUGGGUUGAGAGACCGACCAGCCAGAUUGGGACUGAGACACGGCCCAGACUCCUACGGGAGGCAGCAGUGGGGAAUCUUGCACAAUGGGCGAAAGCCUGAUGCAGCGACGCCGCGUGCGGGAUGAAGGCCUUCGGGUUGUAAACCGCUUUCAGCAGGGACGAGGCGAAAGUGACGGUACCUGCAGAAGAAGCCCCGGCUAACUACGUGCCAGCAGCCGCGGUAAUACGUAGGGGGCAAGCGUUAUCCGGAUUCAUUGGGCGUAAAGCGCUCGUAGGCGGUCUGUUAGGUCGGGAGUUAAAUCCGGGGGCUCAACCCCCGUUCGCUCCCGAUACCGGCAGACUUGAGUUUGGUAGGGGAAGGUGGAAUUCCUAGUGUAGCGGUGGAAUGCGCAGAUAUUAGGAAGAACACCAGUGGCGAAGGCGGCCUUCUGGGCCAUAACUGACGCUGAGGAGCGAAAGCUAGGGGAGCAAACAGGAUUAGAUACCCUGGUAGUCCUAGCCGUAAACGAUGGACACUAGGUGUGGGGGAAUAUUUCUUCCGUGCCGCAGCUAACGCAUUAAGUGUCCCGCCUGGGGAGUACGGCCGCAAGGCUAAAACUCAAAGGAAUUGACGGGGGCC
rnacentral:rRNA from 1 species